UGCUACGAGCGUCGCGUUUGCUUGAUCGUGUGUUUUUGUGUUUGCUUUUAUGAAGUAGGUCGCAGUUAGCGUGCACAGAAGUGCCUGAAGAUACCUUGUGUCACGCUGCAAACUCGCCGUAUGCGUGGCGCGCCAGGCAAAUGUGGCCCAACGAUUUUAUGCCGUGGAGUGUGGCCUCUUUGUUCUCGUUCUGGAAAGUUGGGUGGACGUCGCAAAGAAAUAAUGUGUGUUAGCGCGCCUCAGCUCGUCCACUACGCAGCGGCAUGUAUGCGGGGAGUAACAUCGUCGACGCAGCACCGGCAACUUGGAGAGUGCUUCGCGACCGCGUCGUACCAUUCAAAAGUGGCGAGGCUGUGACCCAUAACAGUGCCUACAUAACGGAGGAGCCACCAGACCCCUUGGCUAUGCCUGCCGUAGUGCAACGUGUAAUCUGGAUGGUCGGGUCAGGUAUGUAUGUAGUGUACACCUAGGAAAUGUUGUAUACAUUGGCAACGAUAACUGGGGCCUGCUCCAGUGCCAUCGCCGGGAUUCCCUGUUCUGCAAAGAACUGACAUAACUGAUGUGGGGAGCCGUGGCGCUCGGUGUAGGAGCGUCACAGGGGCUCCUUGUCAGUGCUUGAAGGACGGCAAUGCUGUUGAGAAGCCGACAUUGAACCCCGAUAAAUUGGAAGCUGUGGGUAGUUACCGCAUUAUUGACUUGGAAACCAGUGAGGUCUGGAUGCAAGUGAAGCUACCGAGGGAGGCAUGUGUGCAUCACUUGUGCUGCUGGCCAUCCUCUGCAAAAGUGAUGGCUGGCAGUCAGUGCUUGGAUGACUUUCUGUUACUCUACGCCUUGGGCUGUGUUGACUACUUCACACUUGCUGCCAUGUCUGCAAGCUUAGGCAAAAAGACCGGCUGGAUGUUUGGCAGGAGAUAGUAUCCAACCGCAGUGUUACUGUGUUGUGUUGUACAUUACAAAGUGAAGGAGGACAGUAUUUGUGCUGUUAUUAAGAAGUAUAAAUUGUGUUUUGCCAUUGAAAUAAGGGAACUCGACACAAAGCAAAAGAUUUCGAAGUCUGACCUACAUGGGAAAGCAAAAUAUAUUGUGUUGUAGUUGUAGCUGUUAGUAGAGUCUUAAUAUGCGAUAGAAGACCUUGAUGUUUAAUAGAAAAUAUAUUUAAGUGUGUUAUCAGUGUGUUAUCAGUUUUUAAGUUACUGUUAUGUGUCAUUUGUUUGCCAGGAUGAUGUAAGCAGACAGUAAAUAAAUGCAUGGUUUGACAUUAUAA